AGCAGCCGCGGUAAUUCCAGCUCCAAUAGCGUAUAUUAAAGUUGUUGCAGUUAAAAAGCUCGUAGUUGAAUUUCGAGAUCAAAUUGUUGGCCGUGCCUUGGUACGCACUGGCAUUAUUGGUUUCUCCCUUCUGACGAACCAUGAUGUCAUUAAUUUGGUGUCUUGGGGAAUCAGGACUGUUACUUUGAAAAAAUUAGAGUGUUUAAAGCAGGCUCACGCUUGAAUACAUUAGCAUGGAAUAAUGAAAUAGGACGUUUGAUUCUAUUUUGUUGGUUUCUAGGAUCGACGUAAUGAUUAAUAGGGAUAGUUGGGGGCAUUAGUAUUCAAUUGUCAGAGGUGAAAUUCUUGGAUUUAUUGAAGACUGACUACUGCGAAAGCAUUUGCCAAGGAUGUUUUCAUUAAUCAAGAACGAAAGUUAGGGGAUCGAAGGCGAUCAGAUACCGUCGUAGUCUUAACCAUAAACUAUGCCGACUAGGGAUCGGAUGAUGUAAUUUUUAAUGACUCAUUC
rnacentral:rRNA from 1 species